GAUGAACGCUGGCGGCGUGCCUAAUACAUGCAAGUCGAGCGAACGGACGAGAAGCUUGCUUCUCUGAUGUUAGCGGCGGACGGGUGAGUAACACGUGGAUAACCUACCUAUAAGACUGGGAUAACUUCGGGAAACCGGAGCUAAUACCGGAUAAUAUUUUGAACCGCAUGGUUCAAAAGUAAAAGACGGUCUUGCUGUCACUUAUAGAUGGAUCCGCGCUGCAUUAGCUAGUUGGUAAGGUAACGGCUUACCAAGGCAACGAUGCAUAGCCGACCUGAGAGGGUGAUCGGCCACACUGGAACUGAGACACGGUCCAGACUCCUACGGGAGGCAGCAGUAGGGAAUCUUCCGCAAUGGGCGAAAGCCUGACGGAGCAACGCCGCGUGAGUGAUGAAGGUCUUCGGAUCGUAAAACUCUGUUAUUAGGGAAGAACAUAUGUGUAAGUAACUGUGCACAUCUUGACGGGACCUAAUCAGAAAGCCACGGCUAACUACGU
rnacentral:rRNA from 1 species